rnacentral:tRNA from 1 species
GGCAGCUUAGCUUAAUGGUAGAGUAUGCAGUUGGUAUUUGAGAGGUGCAGGUUUGAGUCUUGCGGUUGUCU